rnacentral:lncRNA from 1 species
UUGCUCUCCAAACACACCCAUUUUCUUGGGUCUUCCUCAAUCAAUGAACACCCCAUUUGGGUUUUCAGCAUUUGAAUGAGACUUUAGAGGUUAGGGAGAUUUAAAACGGUUAUGUAACUGUGGCAGAUUGCAGAAUGAGACUAAAAUAAACGUGGGUACCCUUUCCCUCUCCAUGCCGAUGCUCUCAGCAAUGCCAAUUUCAGUCGAAGCUGAUGAACUGGGUCCUAAAGCCUUAAAUUGACAACAAUGGACUCCCAACUCCAAUCAGAGGCAUCAACCAAGUCAUUUUUUUUAAGACUUUAGCAGGAAUUUUUAGGAGGACCAAAUGAAGGAACUAAGUAAAACAAUAGCAAUGAGACUCCCUCCCUUCCUCCAGAGCUUGCUAGGCACUUUCACAUUCUUGGGCAAAGGAUAUUAUUUGCCAUUGGAAAGUCAGCAUUUUCUCAGGGUUAAAGAACAGAAAGAGGUAAGCUCCACUGAUCUUGGAAGUUCACACGGUAUCUACCUUAAGGGGCAAUCAUUGUAGGCUAAAGUCUUACUGUUCUGGGAAAAUAGAUGGGACCUAUUUUAUAUACUGGUUACUGCCGUUCUCUUCUAUAGACUUCAAAAUUCAAACUGUUUACGUAAAACGACAAUUAAGCUAAUACAGAGAGCAGUAUGAAGAGCAUACACUACUAUCAUAAGACUAAUUAUAUACUGAUAAAAUUCAUCACUAGCAUAAAACCAAAACCAUAUUCAACAACAUAGAGUGUUACAAAGUCGGAAGCAAAAAUAAGUGUCACACUUUUUAUAUUAGCACAAUACAAGGCAUAGACAUUUCAUCUCUCGUCUCAUGUUGACACCCAAAGCUCAGAUGCCUAAUAAUUUAUUACCAUCAUGAUACACACCGAUAGAAAAGAACACCAGCUACUCAUAAUAACUAUCGCCAAAACGCCUUCCCUAAUCCUGCAUUGAAAAAGCAUAUAUCUUAAGCCACGAUUAAUGGUAGAUCCGUCAGGCAUUGUAAAACAAAGUUAUAGUAAUAACAAAGUAUGGCAGUCUGAAAAUACAGGACAUACAAUUGAUAUUUCAAUAUCCAUUUGGACAACAUGCACAUUUUAAAGACCGAUAUAUUUGUCAAAAUAGGACAUGUGGAUUCGUUAUUGAAAUUUAAAUCAACAUUGACAACUUUCAUAAUUGUAUAACUAGCAUUUUCUCUUACUGAUGCUAUUAUAACAAAAUUUGAUAAGCACAUAAAUUGCUCAAUAUAGAUGAUGAUAUAUGUCAAAGAGCAUAUAACUAUGAAAAUAUACCUACAUUUUAAAGGCAGCAUGGAGAUGUACUUUUGUUAUCUAACUGAUAUAUUCAAUUGCAAAGGUAUACACUAUACAUACACCCAACUAUACCAUUUGUCUCAAUGGCAAUUCUAAUUAUUUUCCCAUGAUGUACAAGAAUUUUACAGACUCAUGUUCCCUUAUCAGAGCCACAAUGCCAGUAUGUCUUGACUUAACUUCCACCAUCUGAAAUUUUACUCAGUCCAUUUCUCCAUAAUACAUCAGACAUCCUAUAUUGUUGUGAUAGAAACCACUCAACAUUCCCAUUAGCAAUUAUAUUACCAAAGAAGUAUCAGCCAUUGAACAAUUUUCUAAUUUUGAGAAGCAUUGUGCCACUCGUGACACUAUUAUUGACCAGUGAGCAAGCAAAGCAAGAGAAGAAAGACUUUACACGGAACAUACAAAAGUUUAGUAUUCACAUACAAAACCUGUAUGCUUCCAUAUGACAAUGAUAAGUGGCGCUCAGUAUACUUCUAAUUAUUGCCUAAUCCAGUUGUAAGAAUCAACAAAAAGAUAAAACAAAAACAACUAGAAAAUUUAGAAAGAGUUAACAUGAGCAUCAGACCAAAAAAGACAAAACAAGAAGAAUCGGUAAAAAGCCACAAAGUCCACGAUGUACCUCCUCCUCCUCCUCACCCCCAUCCUCUUUUUUACUCUUCUUAAGACGGGUUGUACCAACCUCCUUGCUGAUGAGCAACUUCAUUGCUCCAAAGGGCGUGUCCACAUUGAUGUAUCCUUUCAUGGUUUAACCAGUACCUUUCCCUCUAAUCAUGUCCCAAAGAGCAGAUCCAAAGUCUUUAGGCGUGAAGGUGAUGGGAAUAUCAAAGUAACUAAUACCAUUUUUAGCAAUGGUAGUAGAUUCUGACAAUUCUGCACCUCCGAUACAUCAGAAAGCCAAACCUCAUAUUCAAGUGCCUUCAGGCCCAAAUCAAAGUCAUUCUUAUUUUCCAAUUUCAAAUGAAGAACUGCAACGGUUUCUUCAAAAGAGAAUCUCUGAAAACAUAUUUUCUCAAGAUCAAUAUCAGGCUUGUAGGGAAUGUGGAUCUCUCCAGUUUUCUCAAGUGGACCCAAAAACAGGCACAUCAACUAUGAGGUCAAACUUGACCUUAUAAGGAAUGAUACUUCCAGGCUUUAUAUCAUCAUAUGUAUUUUUAAUGUCAUCGUAGGCGAGCGAAACUGGUAUCUUGAGAGUCUCAGAACCAUGAGCAUGUAUUGUCCCAGCAUCAGGGAUCAAUCCAGAAACCAGUUUCCUCUCAUCGCUCUCAAUUAAGUAGUUUAUGUCAAUGAGAGAAAUCGGAAUCGGAUUCGGAUUCGGAUUUUUCACAAGGGCAUCAACAACUAUAUCUGCCUUCUCAAGAUUAAUAGAAGGAAUGUGAAUCCCUGUAACAUCAGCAGUUGGCUAGCAAAAUCCAAUGGUUUCCUCUAUCUUCUCACCAAUGCCAUGAAUAAAAUCCUUUACUUUUUCAAUAAAUCCACCCUUCCCUUCUUUGUCAUCUUCUUUCUCCUUCACAUCCCUUUCAACUAUCUUUGGCUUAUCAGAUGAUGCCAUACCUUAAUAACAACGCAUUCAAGAUGUAAAAAGAAUAAGCUAGUAGAAUAACAAGAACUCUAGAGAUGAUAUAAAACUUAAAAAGAAAAUAAGUUACAAGGAAACAAAUAACAAAGGAUAAGUGUAUCAGGUUACCAAUCAUGCACUUUACAUCACUUCUACCGGUAUUGUCAAAAAAACAUUACAUCCAAUUUUUCUUAUGAGUUCUAUGUUCAAAAAAAUCAUGAACUUUUGAUCAAGAAGGGGAAGGUAGUAUAAAUAUUAUAAAAAUCGAGUAAUACAUGCAGAAACACAAAGGAUAAGUGUAUCAGGUUACCAAUCUAAAAAACAAUACCAAGGUCAACACUUGGCCAGUCAUGGAUCGUGAAAAAAGGACUCACUGUUCUAGAUCCACCUUCUAUAGUAGGUUAGACUCUACUACCGCAGUAGACUAUGUGCUUCUAACUUCAAAGUUCCAUGACUAGCACUUGGGUGGGUGUUGUGCCUCCUUGCUGUGAGGAGUGGUGGUAACGACUUUGUGUCCACUAAUGUGGUCCAAACCAUCCAAUUGGUAGGGCUUACUGAGUAGAUGAUUUAUACAAACACUCAAGCUGAUUGGACAUCGCGUGACUCAUGGUUGGUCAAUUCUCAAAAUCAUACAUGCCUGUCUAUUUUUUUCAUGACAAAUGUGAUCUAAUCACGUGGCUAGUAAUGCCCAAUCAAACUAUUUUUUGUGUAGAUAAUCUUCUCAAGUGGCACCAUUCUAAUAGUUCGGACCACAUCAGUGGACUCGGGGUAGGGCCCACAGCCCCUCACCCACCCCAAAUCUCCAGGACUAGAGAUUCGUCUUAAUGCCGAUGAAUUAACAUGAUGCAAGGCGCACCAAUUCUCUUGCAAUGAAAAAAAUACAGAAUAAUAGAAGUAGGAUUGCAGAAUCCACAGUCAGUUUAUCACCGAUCAACCAAAUCACUACACGAACAAAUUUAUACCUUUAUACAUUAAAGCGCAAGUAGGGGAAUCGAUCCAUAAUGUCAAUUGUCAAGUACUCGAAUCCAACUUCAAUACAUGACAAAAACAAAAGAAUAUGCAGAUCGGAGACUACGACAUCCGGAUGAGCAACGAUAAUAAAUAAAAACAGAGCUAAGAAACACACACACACACACACACAGUUGGCGUGUAACUUCGGUUUUCUAAAUUUUUUUGUUUGUUUGUUUUUCCAUAAUCCAAAACAGUACAUUUAGCCGCAACAGCAAGAAAUCCCGAGAAAAUGACAGAAAAGAGUAGAAAAUAAGGAUCUGAUGGACGAACAAAGAGAUUCACAAUAAAAUUAACAACAGUCGGUGAAGCCGAUUAGAUCUGUGGGACGCGCUCCAACCGAUCACCACCAAACAUAAAAAUCAACCUCAUUUCAACAUAAUCACAAGAGAGAGAGAGAGAGAGAGAGAGAGAACAGCUGGGAAACAAGCUAGCGAUCUAAUUACCUUGAAAGGAGUAACGAUGCAAUCGAAGAUGAUCCAAAUUCACUGAAUUUUUUCGUGUCCGAAGAUAGACGAGACUCACGAGAGGAGAGAGAGAGAGAGAGAGAGAGUGUGAAGGAGUAAUGAAAAAAGUGAACACUUUUAGGGGUACACAGAUGACACGAUUCUAUGGAAACGGUCGUUGAAGAAUUAAAAACUUGCCGACACGCUCACACGCUAAACGCAGGAAAUACUUGCUUUCCGCAAUGUUUUGAAAUUCGGACAAUUAAGCGAACUAAAAAAAGAAUCGGGUCACGGAUUAUCGAUUUAAUCGUCGGGCAAAAGAUUGUCCAAAGCGGGAGACGUUGUAUGCCAUUGUUAUUGAUGGAGUAAGGAGGGAUCUGAUUCAGAUACAGCUAGAGUUAAUCCAUUGCAAUUAUUAAAUGCAAUU